rnacentral:rRNA from 1 species
AUUGAACGCUGGCGGCAGGCUUAACACAUGCAAGUCGAGCGAGCGGCGGACGGGUGAGUAAUGUAUGGGGAACUGCCUGAUGGAGGGGGAUAACUACUGGAAACGGUAGCUAAUACCGCAUACCAUCAGAUGUGCCCAUAUGGGAUUAGCUAGUAGGUAGGGUAACGGCUUACCUAGGCGACGAUCCCUAGCUGGUCUGAGAGGAUGAUCAGCCACACUGGAAUUGAGACACGGCCCAGACUCCUACGGGAGGCAGCAGUGGGGAAUAGUGAAAAAUGGGCGCAAGCCUGAUGCAGCCAUGCCGCGUGUAUGAAGAAGGCCUUCGGGUUGUAAAGCACUUUCAGUCGGGAGGCGUUACCGACAGAAGAAGCACCGGAUAACUCCGUGACAGCAGCCGCGGUAAUAC